rnacentral:rRNA from 1 species
GAGAGUUUGAUCCUGGCUCAGGACGAACGCUGGCGGCGUGGAUUAGGCAUGCAAGUCGGACGGUAGGGCUUUAUCGUAAGAUAGAGUUUGAGAGUGGCAAACGGGUGAGUAACACGUAGGAAUCUACCCUUAAGACGGGGACAACCCAGGGAAACUUGGGCUAAUACCGGAUGAGAGUGCGAGAGAUUGCAUUUAAAAGGAUGGCGAAAGUUGUCGCUUAGGGAUGAGCCUGCGGUCUAUUAGUUAGUUGGUGAGGUAAGAGCUCACCAAGGCGAUGAUAGAUAGGCGGCCUUAACGGGUGGUCGCCCACACUGGGAUUGAGAUACGGCCCAGACUCCUACGGGAGGCAGCAGUCGAGAAUAGUCUACAAUGGCCGGAAGGCUGAUAGUGCGACGCCGCGUGAACGAGGGAGCCCUUCGGGGUGUAAAGUUCUUUUCUAUACGAGCAGUGCUAUAUAUAUGGAUAGUAUAUAUAGAGGGAUAGUAGUAUAGGAAUAAGCAUCGGCUAACUCCGUGCCAGCAGCCGCGGUAAUACGGAGGAUGCGAGCGUUAUCCGGAUUUACUGGGUUUAAAGGGUGCGCAGGCGGUUGUUUAAGUCAGGGGUGAAAGCCCUAUGCUCAACAUAGGGAUUGCCUUUGAUACUGAACGGCUAGAGUGAAGAUGGAGUGGGUGGAAUGUGUUGUGUAGCGGUGAAAUGCAUAGAUAUAACACAGAACACCGAUCGCGAAGGCAGCUCACUAAUUUUCAACUGACGCUCAUGCACGAAAGCGUGGGGAUCAAACAGGAUUAGAUACCCUGGUAGUCCACGCUGUAAACGAUGAUCACUAGCUGUUGGUACGCAGAAGUAUCAGUGGCUAAGCGAAAGUGAUAAGUGAUCCACCUGGGGAGUACGACCGCAAGGUUGAAACUCAAAGGAAUUGACGGGGGCCCGCACAAGCGGAGGAGCAUGUGGUUUAAUUCGAUGAUACGCGAGGAACCUUACCAGGGCUCGAACGCAGGGGGAAUAUACCUGAAAAGGGUAUAGCCAGCGAUGGUCGUCUGCGAGGUGCUGCAUGGUUGUCGUCAGCUCGUGCCGUGAGGUGUCAGGUUAAGUCCUAUAACGAGCGCAACCCCUAUCCAUAGUUGCCAGCGGUUAAAGCCGGGGACUCUAUGGGAACUGCCUGCGCAAGCAGAGAGGAAGGAGGGGAUGACGUCAAAUCAGCACGGCCCUUAUGUCCUGGGCUACACACGUGCUACAAUGGUCGGUACAGAAGGCAGCGACCACGUGAGUGGGAGCCAAUCCUUAAAAGCCGAUCUCAGUUCGGAUUGGAGUCUGCAACCCGACUCCAUGAAGUUGGAUUCGCUAGUAAUCGCGCAUCAGCCAUGGCGCGGUGAAUACGUUCCCGGGCCCUGUACACACCGCCCGUCAAGCCAUGGGAGCUGGGGGUACCUGAAGUUCGUGACCCGCGAGGGAGCGACCUAGGGUAAACUCAGUGACUGGGGCUAAGUCGUAACAAGGUAGCCGUAG